GCAUACUCAAGAGAACGUCCUCGGAAAAUGCAUUUGGAGCAUGAGAGUGUGGAGCACGGUCCUGUCAGAGAGAAUGUGCUGAGUUGCAAGGAGCCUUAUCUGCUAAGCCUGUUGAGUGUUUGUUUAAAGGCAUGUCGAUGAUGAUCCGGGAACAGCAAAAUGAAAUGCAGAACCGGAAUCCUGACCUGCCUGGCUCUGAUGUACGAUGCUGGCCCUGAGGUUGAAGCAAGCCCGAACAGUACCAUUUUGUUCUGAGUGCAUGGCCCCACACAUGGCCUUAGUGUUCAUGAAGCUAUCAGUGGUAAAUAUGUACACAUCUCUCCGGGAUCUGGUUUGUGGUCUUCCAGACAGCUGAUACCGCUGUGAUGUACUACGGAGCACAAAGACAUAGAGAUAUUUACAGCAAACGGUGUCAAAGGAAGGCCUCGAUCAUCAUCAAGGACCUCAGGCACCCGAGCCACGGUCUGUUCUCCCUGCUAGCAUCUAGCAGACGGAGACAGUACAGGUGUAUCAGAGCCGAGACCAAGAACUGCCAUCACUAGUCGGCUACCUGCCCGGUACUCUGCCCUGCACCUUGAUACUAAUGCCUCAUGUACAGUAUAUAGAGUCAUUGAAUGCUGGUCACCUCAUAUUCUGUUUAUAUACUGUGUAUUUACAGUAUAUACUGUAUUCUCAACAUAGCUCAUCCUAAUAUACCUACUACUGUGCCUUUCCAAAUGAUAUACUGCCUAUACACACACUACGUAUUUGUAUUCUGGAUACUAACACAUGUUCACUCUACUCUAGAUUGUAAAUUGGACUCGUUCAGUUUUUUCUUGAUUUCCUGUUUUGAUUAUUUGUGUAAUUGUAUUCUAUUUGCGUGACUUUCUACUACACUGUUAGAGCUAGUAACAUAAGCAUUUCGCUGCAACUGCUAUAACACCUGCAAAUCUGUGUAUGCGACCAAUAAACUUUGAUUUGAUUUGACAAAGGAAACAACAAACUGUGGUGUUUGAGCUGGAGUGAGGAGGGGAGUGAGGAACUGCCCAGCACACUGUGCUUAUAUCAAAGAAAACUUCCUUCACAUCACGCCUCCCACCCUGUCACACGCACACACAAACACACAUAUAUACACACACACCACAAGAGGUUGGUGGCACAUUCAUUUGAGAGGACAGGCUUCUGGUAAUGGCUGGAGUGGAAUGUGUGGAAUGGUAUCAAAUAUAUCAAACAUGGUUUACAAGUGUUUGAUGCCAUUCCAUUUGAUUCGUUCCGGUCAUUAUAAUGAGUCGUACUCCUCUCAGCAGCCUCCUGGG